rnacentral:tmRNA from 2 species
GGGGGCGCAUGUCUCGACAAGGAUCAUUUUUCGGAAAUUGCAGGCCGGAUCGAUGGGCCCGUAAAACCCAUCAAAACUAACAACUGCCAACAGAAAUGUUGCAGCUCCUGCGCUCGCUUAAGCUUCGACAGGCUCAGCUUACCCUGAGUUUAUCGAACGGGUACGCGUAGCGCAGGGGGUCCCCUCCGAAGCUUUAGCGUAGGAGGGCAUCGGCUCUUGAUGUCUCAUAGAGAAUCACCGGUGUAAUAAUGGGGCUCGUUCUCGGCAAGCCGGUUCAGUAGUUGAGAACUAAAUCACAGAACCAAUCUGUCCUGAGUUUAUCGAAGGACUAAACCUGUAGAUGGUUUCCGGAAGAACUCUUGGAAGAGGGUUCAAUCCCUCCGCCUCCACAA